AUUUAGAGGAAGUAAAAGUCGUAACAAGGUUUCCGUAGGUGAACCUGCGGAAGGAUCAUUACCGAGAGUUGUAGGCUUCUGUCUACCAUCUCUUACCCAUGUCUUUUGCGUACUUAACGUUUCCUCGGCAGGUCCGCCUGCCGUAGGACAAUCAUAAACCAUUUGCAGUUGCAGUCAGCGUCUGAAAAACAUAAUAAUUACAACUUUUAACAACGGAUCUCUUGGUUCUGGCAUCGAUGAAGAACGCAGCGAAAUGCGAUAAGUAGUGUGAAUUGCAGAAUUCAGUGAAUCAUCGAAUCUUUGAACGCACAUUGCGCCCCUUGGUAUUCCAUGGGGCAUGCCUGUUCGAGCGUCAUUUGUACCUUCAAGCUCUGCUUGGUGUUGGGUGUUUGUCCCGCCUUUGUGCGCGGACUCGCCUUAAAGCAAUUGGCAGCCGGCGUAUAGAUUUCGGAGCGCAGCACAAUCCGCGCUUUGUACUCAUUACGACGACAUCCAUCAAGACAUUUUUUAACUCUUGACCUCGGAUCAGGUAGGGAUACCCGCUGAACUUAAGCAUAUCAAUAA
rnacentral:rRNA from 1 species